CUUAUAUGUUAGUUAACAGGAGAUUAUGUAGAUUAAAAUUUCAAUGAAAGAGCAGCACAUUAUGACUUAGCCCCCCUUGUUUGAUGUCAGGUAGAAACUAAACUGUAAAAAUGCAACUGUUGAUUUGAGCCAUGCCAACUGUUAAUGCAAUCAAAAACUCUUAUGGCAAGUUCUGUAAAAAUGCAACUGUUAAGUGAAGCAAUCAAAAACUCUUAUGACAGCCUGGAUUAAGAAAGUAACCCUUCCUUUCCAAGGGUUCAUUGAGGUGCUUUCACCAACUCUUCACUCAACUUUUUCAAUUUAAGUUUGAACAUUUCUUUAAGCUGAAGUGAUUAUUGAUUAAGACUCAAAAUUGAUAGAAUCAUUUAUCAAAAGAGACACAAGGAAAGGGGAAUUUUAAAGCAUAUAUUAAAGCAUCGUUGAUAAACAUAUAUUCAUUCAACAGGAACCAUUUUGCUAGAAUAACUUAUUGAUUUUGAUUCAAAGCAACUUUUCAUUGUGAUUCAAAGACACCAUAUACACCA